CUGUCAUCUUUUUUUCAUAAUUAUUAUUAUUUAAUUUGUUUUCAUUUCUUGACAUUUCUUAAAUUACUUUCCAUAUUUUUCAUAAUUAUAUAUUACAUUUCUUGACAUUUCUUAUAUUACUUUCAUUUUUUUUUCAAAGUAUAUAUUAUUUACAUUUCUUUUCAUUUCAUUUUUUAUUACUUUCACUAUUUCUCGGUCUUUGGCCUGUUUCAAACGUCGCAUUUUGCACGUGUCGAAUUUAAAUCGCUUUGGCGUGGCAUCGAAAACUUCAUGUAAUGUGUUUCGGAGAAAGAAAAAUCUUUGGAUAUAUAUUUCUAUUUUUCCAACAAUUUAGGCUUAAACAUUCUUAAGACGUUCUUAAGUACAGUAAUCACAAGGUAUUUUUGCAGUUUAACGAUCUUCGGUGUAUUCUUAGUAAAUUCUUUAAAUUGUGCUUAUUUUAACCUUAGAUUUUUAUAUGUUUUAAUAUCUCAAGCUAAACGUUGUUCCAGGCAACGCCCAAGCCCAAUUGAAUUCACA